AGAGUUUGAUCAUGGCUCAGAACGAACGCUGGCGGCGCGUUUUAAGCAUGCAAGUCGAGCGGCAGGGGGGCCUCGGUCCCCCGAGAGCGGCGGACGGGUGAGUAACACGUGGACAACGUGCCCCCCGGUUCGGGAUAGCCCAGGGAAACCUGGAUCAAUACCGGAUGCGAGGGCGGCCGCACAAGCGGCCGUCGGGAAAGGCGCUUCGGCGCCGCCGGGGGAUGGGUCCGCGUCCCAUUAGCUAGACGGUGGGGUAACGGCCCACCGUGGCGAUGAUGGGUAGCCGGCCUGAGAGGGUGGACGGCCACAUUGGAACUGAGACACGGUCCAGACUCCUACGGGAGGCAGCAGCUAAGAAUCUUCCGCAAUGGGCGAAAGCCUGACGGAGCGACGCCGCGUGAACGAAGAAGGCCGUGAGGUUGUAAAGUUCUUUUCGGGAGGGGGAACGAGGCUGCCAGGCAAUGGGCGGCCGAUGACGUGAAUCCCGGAAUAAGCCCCGGCUAACUCCGUGCCAGCAGCCGCGGUAACACGUAGGGGGCGAGCGUUGUUCGGAAUCAUUGGGCGUAAAGGGCGUGCAGGCGGCCGCCAAAGUCCGGCGUGAAAGACCCAGGCUCAACCUGGGGGGUGCGCCGGAUACUGGGCGGCUUGAGUACAGGAGGGGACGGCGGAAUUCCAGGUGUAGGGGUGAAAUCUGUAGAUAUCUGGAGGAACACCGAUGGCGAAGGCAGCCGUCUGGCCAUGUACUGACGCUGAGGCGCGAAGGUGCGGGGAGCAAACAGGUUUAGAUACCCUGGUAGUCCGCACAGUAAACGAUGUGCACCAGGCGGCGGGGGCAACCUCGCUGCCGCAGUCAACGCAUUAAGUGCACCGCCUGGGGAGUAUGCCCGCAAGGGUGAAACUCAAAUGAAUUGACGG
rnacentral:rRNA from 1 species